CUUCGGCAAUGGGCGCAAGCCUGACCGAGCGACGCCGCGUGGAGGACGAAGGCCUUCGGGUUGUAAACUCCUGUCGAGGGGGAACAAGGGGCCGUGCAGAGCGGUCCUUGAGUGAUCCCUGGAGGAAGCACGGGCUAAGUUCGUGCCAGCAGCCGCGGUAAGACGAACCGUGCGAACGUUAUUCGGAAUCACUGGGCUUAAAGCGCGUGUAGGCGGCCCGGCACGUCCGUCGCUGAAAUCCCCCGGCUCAACCGGGGAAGUGGCGUGGAUACGACCGGGCUGGAGGGGGGUAGGGGGAGCCGGAACUUCCGGUGGAGCGGUGAAAUGCGUUGAGAUCGGAAGGAACGCCCGUGGCGAAAGCGGGCUCCUGGACCCCACCUGACGCUGAGACGCGAAAGCCAGGGGAGCGAACGGG
rnacentral:rRNA from 1 species